UGAGAACUUAGCUUUUUAGGAGGGAAGGGUCGAUUGCCCUGUUUCCAUCAAGUCAGUAGGUUGACGGCGAACUUCGUCGAUUCCGGACACAGCACGGCGGCGCAUCGGACCGAAGCCGUGGCGAGCUCGCCAAUUUCCAGAAAAAUAAUGGAGAAUCAGCACCCUCGGCGGCCUGACGAGCAGCGGACGCCGCUGCGAGUGAAGCGGCGCGGUGAAUCUCGCCGGCCUUCCAGUUGCAGUGGCGGCAGUCUUCGUUUCUCUGGUAGAGCUAGGGCUCAACGGAGAGGCGAUUUCCGGCCAAGAAAAGCGCGGCGGCGCUGGAAGGUUUAACAGCAGCAGGAAGCGGCGGUGUCGAAAGAGUAGCAGCGGCGACCUUCCCGAUUUCAGGGCUCGACGUCAGAGCGGGAUUUAUGAGGAUGGGAGACGAACGGCGCUGCUUCCAGGAGGCGACCGCCCGUCGGAUUCCAGAUGGAGGUGCGACAUCGGCGAUGACUUCCUUAGAUUCAGGGCUCGAUUGGGUUCUGCGGAUGGACCAAAGGAGCAGAAAGAGAACGGUGCCGGGGUUAGACGCGUCAACAGACGACGCCGGCCGAAGCAAGCGACGGCUGAACGGCUGGAGAAGGCAGCCGACCAGAUUUAGCGGAGGAGAAUAAGCCGAUCGGCUUUGUGAGAAAGGUGAGAAUGUGUUUUGAGUUAGAGAGAGAGACCGACAUUUUGAGAGAGAGAAAAAGGAAGAACCGACAGUUUGAGUGGAGAGAGAGUCGACUGUUUGAGAUGAAAGAGAGAGAGAUUCAAUUGGGCUUUAUUUUAUUUUCUCUUGGGCCGAGAUAUUAGGCCUUGUUUUAACUGUUGUGGGCUACAGAUUUUAAGUGUUUUGGGCCUGGAUUGUUGGGCUUUGGCUAUUGGGCCGAAAAUGUAGAAGGAAAGAGUGAAUGGGCUUAAGUUGUUGGGCCGGUUUUUAUUCUAUUAUGUUGGGCCUCUGAUUUUUAGAAUGGGCUUAAUUUUAUUUCUUUUGCUUGGGCUUUCAUAUUUAAUUGUUUGGGCUUUUCCCUUUUAAUUUUCGGGCUUGAAUUUUAAUGGCUUGGGCUUCACAUCUAAAUUCGAAUUGGGCCUUUAUCUAUAUUAUUUGGGCCGAAUUAUUUGAGCUUGGGUUUGUUUUAUUUUAAAGGAAUUGAGCUUCCAAUUUAAUUGAUUGGGCUUUCAUUAAAUUCGAACUGGGCCAAUCUUUAAUUUAAUUGGCCUUCUCAUUAAUUCUAUUGGGCUUGAUUUAUUUAAGGAAUUGGGCUGAUGCAUAUUUUAUGAUGGGCUAUUAUUCCAAACCUCAAUUAUUAUUUGGACCCCUAUUUUAAUUGUUUUGGGUCGAAGACUUUUUAAGUUGGGCUUUAAUUCUUUUAAAGCUUGAGCUGAAGUUGCUCCUUUGAGCUAAGCCUAGCAGUAUCAAUUUUUGAUGGAGCCCAAUUAUUUAUCAGUAAUGAGCCGCCCAGUUUAUUAAUUAAUGUUUUUGGACUUCCGACUUUAAAGCAAGCCAUUAUUGUUUAUUUCAUUUAAGCCACUGGUUUAUUUAAUUAAUUGGCUACUCUCUUUUGAGCCUAUUAAUUAUUUGAGGUUACGCUAGUAAUGAUGCUUCUAUCGAAAAGCCCGGUAAUUUCUACAAGGUCACACCUCGUUUAAAGCCGAGUUAGUCCUUUUUCAAUCAAGUACAAAUGCGAGGUUUAUUUCACGACUAGAAUAUUCCGAUGAGGAAGGAAGAAUCACAGUUUUAAUCGACCGCGCUAGACGAGAAUUAGCUAAAUCUAUUAACGAGGAUUAAUAGUAGAAUUCCCGAUUAUCGCUCAGAGUAUUAGUUCAUGCAUACCAGAUUCAUGCAUAGUUAAAUUACGCUUUCUCAUUAAUUAAGAAUUUUCCUCGAGGCAAUGUCUUAUUUUAUAUUCUCGUGAUUAAGGUCAAGCGCGAGAGUAAGAACUACACAAGGAGUUAGAGUACCUUAGCAAAACUUUGCUAUCAGGUUGAGCUGUGAUGGGCGAUGAAGUGUUGUUGCUGAGUGGAGUUUUUGUCGAACUUAAAGUAGGCUCAGAAAGGAUACAUGUCUUCAUACAUGUAUCACAGUUAUGCUUUCCGCUGUAAACACUGAUUAUUUCAGUUACGCCUUCCGUUGCAAACUCUGAUAAUGUUUUAGCCAAGCCCCUAAUGAUGCCUUUUUCCUUUUAAGGAAUAUAACGCGUAUACAAGUUCUUUGAGUACCCUUUUUAUGCGAACUAUGCCUUUUUCCUUUUUAAGGAAUAUUUCACGCGUAUUCAA